GUGCUCAGUGUGGCAGCACAUAUAUUAAAAUUGGAACAAUACAGAGACUAGAAUGGGCCCUGAGCAAGGAUGACACAUAAAUUUGUGAAGCAUUCCAUAUUUUA